rnacentral:rRNA from 1 species
UACGUAGGGUGCAAGCGUUGUCCGGAAUUAUUGGGCGUAAAGAGCUCGUAGGCGGUCUGUCGCGUCUGCUGUGAAAACCUGGGGCUUAACCCCGGGCCUGCAGUGGGUACGGGCAGACUAGAGUGUGGUAGGGGAGACUGGAAUUCCGUGUGUAGCGGUGAAAUGCGUAGAUAUACGGAGGAACACCAGAGGCGAAGGCGGAUCGCUGGGCCAACACUGACGCUGAGACGCGAAAGCUAGGGUAGCAAACGGG